rnacentral:rRNA from 1 species
GGGUUGUGAGGUUAAGCGACUAAGCGUACACGGUGGAUGCCCUGGCAGUCAGAGGCGAUGAAGGACGUGCUAAUCUGCGAUAAGCGUCGGUAAGGUGAUAUGAACCGUUAUAACCGGCGAUUUCCGAAUGGGGAAACCCAGUGUGAUUCGUCACACUAUCAUUAACUGAAUCCAUAGGUUAAUGAGGCGAACCGGGGGAACUGAAACAUCUAAGUACCCCGAGGAAAAGAAAUCAACCGAGAUUCCCCCAGUAGCGGCGAGCGAACGGGGAGCAGCCCAGAGCCUGAAUCAGUGUGUGUGUUAGUGGAAGCGUCUGGAAAGGCGCGCGAUACAGGGUGACAGCCCCGUACACAAAAAUGCACAUGCUGUGAGCUCGAUGAGUAGGGCGGGACACGUGGUAUCCUGUCUGAAUAUGGGGGGACCAUCCUCCAAGGCUAAAUACUCCUGACUGACCGAUAGUGAACCAGUACCGUGAGGGAAAGGCGAAAAGAACCCCGGCGAGGGGAGUGAAAAAGAACCUGAAACCGUGUACGUACAAGCAGUGGGAGCACGCUUAGGCGUGUGACUGCGUACCUUUUGUAUAAUGGGUCAGCGACUUAUAUUCUGUAGCAAGGUUAACCGAAUAGGGGAGCCGAAGGGAAACCGAGUCUUAACUGGGCGUUAAGUUGCAGGGUAUAGACCCGAAACCCGGUGAUCUAGCCAUGGGCAGGUUGAAGGUUGGGUAACACUAACUGGAGGACCGAACCGACUAAUGUUGAAAAAUUAGCGGAUGACUUGUGGCUGGGGGUGAAAGGCCAAUCAAACCGGGAGAUAGCUGGUUCUCCCCGAAAGCUAUUUAGGUAGCGCCUCGUGAAUUCAUCUCCGGGGGUAGAGCACUGUUUCGGCAAGGGGGUCAUCCCGACUUACCAACCCGAUGCAAACUGCGAAUACCGGAGAAUGUUAUCACGGGAGACACACGGCGGGUGCUAACGUCCGUCGUGAAGAGGGAAACAACCCAGACCGCCAGCUAAGGUCCCAAAGUCAUGGUUAAGUGGGAAACGAUGUGGGAAGGCCCAGACAGCCAGGAUGUUGGCUUAGAAGCAGCCAUCAUUUAAAGAAAGCGUAAUAGCUCACUGGUCGAGUCGGCCUGCGCGGAAGAUGUAACGGGGCUAAACCAUGCACCGAAGCUGCGGCAGCGACACUAUGUGUUGUUGGGUAGGGGAGCGUUCUGUAAGCCUGUGAAGGUGUACUGUGAGGUAUGCUGGAGGUAUCAGAAGUGCGAAUGCUGACAUAAGUAACGAUAAAGCGGGUGAAAAGCCCGCUCGCCGGAAGACCAAGGGUUCCUGUCCAACGUUAAUCGGGGCAGGGUGAGUCGACCCCUAAGGCGAGGCCGAAAGGCGUAGUCGAUGGGAAACAGGUUAAUAUUCCUGUACUUGGUGUUACUGCGAAGGGGGGACGGAGAAGGCUAUGUUGGCCGGGCGACGGUUGUCCCGGUUUAAGCGUGUAGGCUGGUUUUCCAGGCAAAUCCGGAAAAUCAAGGCUGAGGCGUGAUGACGAGGCACUACGGUGCUGAAGCAACAAAUGCCCUGCUUCCAGGAAAAGCCUCUAAGCAUCAGGUAACAUCAAAUCGUACCCCAAACCGACACAGGUGGUCAGGUAGAGAAUACCAAGGCGCUUGAGAGAACUCGGGUGAAGGAACUAGGCAAAAUGGUGCCGUAACUUCGGGAGAAGG